rnacentral:lncRNA from 10 species
UCCUGCUCCCAGCACCAGCUUUGAUCUCAGAGCUGGGUUGAGGCCGAGCCCAAGUACUAUCACAGCCUGGCCUAGCGUGUUCAUGCUGGGGCUCUGCCACUUUGGCCUCCUCCAGACCUUGGCCACCCACAAGUGCAAUAAAAGUCCCGGGUUUAGCCAGAGCACAGCAGAGGACUGAGAGAUGACAGGACGACUAGCUGCAGAGAGAAACUACCCUCUCUGCCAAGAGCUGCAGACGAUGGGACAAGCUGCCUGCAGAAAGGAGCCACCCACUCUAGGGCCUCCUCUCUGCGGAGAGCUGGAGACAACGGGACAACCAGCUGCAGAGAGGUACCCUCUCUGCUGAGAACUGAAAACUUGUCAGGACGACCUGCCUGCUGAGAGGAGCUGCCCUCUCUGCUAGGAGCUGAACACUAGUCAGGGCACCCUGGUAACGAAGAGGAGCUGCCCACUGCGGUCUUCUCUGAACUGUUUUAUUACUCAGUAAAGCUCCUCUUUGUCUUGCUCACCCUUCACGUGUCUGCAUGCCUCAUUCUUCCUGGUAGCAGAACAAGAACUUCGGACCUGCCAAAUGGUGAGGCUUAAAGAGCUGCUAUAAGACAAACGGGGCUGAAACAUGCGCCUCGCUUGCCAUGUUGUGAGCAAAGAGAAGGAGAGAAGAUCUGUAGCCCUUUGGGGAUCCCAGACCUGGGAGCUCCCUCAGCCAGGGCUGUGACUCACUCUUUGGGUCCUUGUGGAUCUUGGCAUCUCCAAGCUUCUGGGCACCACCACAUUCCCUGGUGCCAGCUGGGGAAGCUGUUUGCAAUGCACCGGGUCCAGCUGCAGCCUUGCAGAAAGCUGGCACCAAUGCUGGCACCUGGAGCUGCCCGCCCCGUGGCAGCAACUGGCAUGCCUGACUGCACAGUGGCCAGACCCCAUGCUCCUUGCAGCUCCAUGCCUGACUCCAGUCUAUCUUGGAGACUUGGGAUUCAGGCCAGUAGCAUGAACUGAGUGCAGCCUGCCAGGCCGAGCGGGCAGAACGAGCCCAGUAGGCCUGAGCAAAACUUGGGCAAAGGCACCACCGGCCACAGGUUUCUGGCCAGAAAAGCAACACCCCAAAGAUCCCGUAACAAUAAUAUUAAAGAAAAUGAUACUUAUUACCUGGAGGGAAUGCUUUUAUGACUAAGAGACUGCUGGUUUGUUUAACAACAAGGGUAAAUAACCCAUUUCAUUCCCAAAGCUUUUUGGAAUAAAUUGGGCCCUCUGAGGGGGCUGUCAUAGUUUAAAACUGCUUACUCAAUCUUGGAGUGAGCAUGUACUGUGUUUGCAGUCUCUUCAGUUUGUUCUUUUUGUUUUGAUGAGAGAUACAGACUAAAUGAAGCAUAAUCUCAGGCUUUGCUCUCUUUUUGUGCUCAACUCACCACAGAGAAACUGAAGACAGAAUUGCUAAGUCACCUGCUCCCUUCAGAACUCUGCAGAAUCAGUCUGUUUCUUCUAGAUGCCAUCUCUUGGAGCCAGUGUUGAAAGGCUGUAUGUUUCCAUUUGAACUCAUCAUUGUUUAAUGUGGCUACAAUACAGAACCAUACAAUAACCACAAUGUGAAAAACCGGUUUGAUGGCGAUCUUGGUUUCUAAGAAACAUCUAUCUGAUUAAGUCAACAUUUUAAACACAAAUACUUUUUGAAAAAUUUUUAUGUGGGUAUAUAUCAGAUAUAUAUAUUUAUGAGGUACAUGAGAUUUUGAUUCAGGUGUACAAUGUAUAAUUAUUACAUCAGGGUUAAGGGGGUAUCCAUCACCCAAAACAUUUAUUUUUUGUGUGUGUUACAAAC